rnacentral:rRNA from 1 species
UACAGAGGUCUCAAGCGUUGUUCGGAUCCAUUGGGCGUAAAGGGUGCGUAGGCGGCGCGGUAAGUCGGGUGUGAAAUCUCGGAGCUUAACUCCGAAACUGCAUUCGAUACUGCCGUGCUUGAGGACUGGAGAGGAGACUGGAAUUUACGGUGUAGCGGUGAAAUGCGUAGAUAUCGUAAGGAAGACCAGUGGCGAAGGCGGGUCUCUGGACAGUUCCUGACGCUGAGGCACGAAGGUCAGGGGAGCAAACGGGG